rnacentral:lncRNA from 1 species
GCAGGUUAGAUCUUUGAACUGGUACAGUAGGUUAAGGAUCCAGCAUUGCUGCAGCUGUGGCAUAUCCCUGCCCCAGCAACUUCUAUAUGCCAUGGGUGCGGCCAAAAAAGAAAAAGAAAAAAAGGUAGAACUAGUUUCUUUACUUGGGGUUCUCUGAAGAGAUCUCUUCUAGCAUUUUUCUCAAUGCUUUUACCUAUGAUUUGAUCUGUGGGAAGGUGAGCUAUGAGGAUCCUUUCAGAUACAAAAUUUACUCUUUGGGUAAGAUAAUAUGAAAAUAAUGCUUUGCUUUGAAGACUAGUUAAGCCAGUUUACAAUGUAUGUUUCAAUGAAAUCUCAAUCUGUUAAUAUAUUACUCUCUCUUCCUCCCCUCUCCGUACACACAUACACACUGCUUUUGAAAUAGCUAUGAUACUUAUUUUAAUCAUGCUUUUAAUGUAAAAUUUAUUAAGGGAUCAAAAAUUUUAAGUUAUUUUACAGCAUCUCCCCGAAAUAUCAGAAAUUUUAAGUAGAAACAUUUUUAAUAUUUGAUAGUAUAUAAGUAUAAAUCAGAUUAAAUAUAAUGAUUUCUUUAAUAAUAAUAAUAAUAAUAAUAAUAAUAAUAGAUGACCCAGUACCUGAAGUAUGCUGCUUACAUAUUGUUACUGUUAUAGUAUAACAAGAACAGGCCAUGUAAAGAUUUUAAUUAUCUUACCCCCUUCAUCCUGAUCAAAUAACAAGCAAAAAAGUGUAUGCCAUCCUAAUGGGAAUUAGAAAAAAAAUAAGGUCAAUAUAUCUUUUAUAAUUACCACUGCCUUUGUUGUCACAUUGUCUGAUGCACCUGUACACUGGAGAUUCAAUUCUGUCUUGAUCUGUGUACAAAACACACAUAAUCACUUAAAGUGUACUUGCUUUAAAUGAUGAGAAAGUUUCAAAAUGUAACUUUCUCAUCAUAAAGGAAGGAACAGACUUUUCAAUAAGGAUGAAGUAGGACAGUUGCAGACAUGGUCAAGGUAAAUAGCUAUAACUUGAUUGUGCAGGAAAAAGGUAAAAGUAAAAAGAAAAAUCAGUUCACCCUCCAGUAAAAUGUACUUCUAAAAAUUCUGCCCCAUACAUGUUCUGAUUAUAAGACAUAGCUUUAAGAAUUAUCCUCUCAUAACCUUAUUCUAUGAUAUAGGACCAGAAAGUGCAUCAACAUAGAUCUUCUCUGUGGUCUUUCAGAAGGUAUGUCACAACUUCUUUCUAUGUCUGCCAUUUAAAGAUGUAAGCAGUAGAAUAAAAAAAAUAAUAAUUCUUGGUUUAUGAAUUCAUUUCACAGUAGACACUCAGGGCUUAGGGGGUGAGAAGGAGAAAGGGGUAGAAGUUUUGGAUUUUAUUCAACCUUGGUAAUGAGUGAAGUUUUACAAUUUAUACUGAUUAAAAAAUUGAGAAUAAAGCCUGCUCAUACAUUAUCAUUGAUGAAGUGCGUGGCUGCUGCAUUUUCCAUGCAGUUGCCAUAGUUACCCUAUGAUGGAAUGAUGACCCAAAUUAAAUUUCCACAAAUUGUUGCCUUCAGUUUUUUAUUUUCUUGUUAAGAAUGAAAAGACUUUAUUUUAUGAAUAAAAAACUGGAUUAUGAUCUCUGCUUUAAUCUUGGUAGAACAAUCUAAGCUUCUUAAUAAAAAGGAAAGGUUAGUGAGAACUAAAGAUGUAUCAUAAUAAUAAAAUAAUGGAAACACUAAAAAUAAUAUUUAGCGUUUCACUGAAGGAGGGCUACAUGCUUAUCUUCCUGUUGGUUUCUUUGGUGGGGUGGGUGUUGUAGAGAGAAUAUGGAAAUGUGGAUCUUAUCCAGGGUAAUGGCUUUGUUUCUGCAUUUUCACAUCUUCAGCCUACAACCUAAAGUGCCACUUCUUUAACACAUCUGGUUGAUCAAGUUGAUCUAGAUUCAGCAGUAACUCUAAAACCCUAUUUUCUGUAAUGUGACUAUAAAUUUUCCAUGACAAGACCGCUGAUCAAACUGGAAAAUUCAUGAAAAGAGUGUAGUUUAAGCCAUAUGAAUUGUUGGUAAUCAACAGUUUUUUUCUUAUGAAAAGGCGUAUUCAUAUGGUUCAACAUAAUUAAAAAAUGCAAUGCAAAUUAAUAUAUUGCUAAUAAAGUCAAAGGAAAACUGAAAAUGAAAUAGCACAAGUAGUAAAAAAGAGAAGAUAGUAAAGAAAUAAUGAUGUAAAAUCUUGAAGAAUGCUUUCUAUUGACCUGUGUUUAUUUUGAUGAAGAUCAAAAGAAUAAAAACUAAAAUGAUAAAAUAUUUAGUAAAUAUGUAAUGAUGCACAGCUAUAUAAUUUAAAAACAUGUCAUUAUGCAUAUCUACACUUUUAAUAUCUUUUUUUUCUAUUAAAAAGAAGUACAUGUUAUUGCAGCAACUUGAAAUUGUAAAAGAACCAAA